rnacentral:rRNA from 1 species
GCUCAGAACUUAAAGGAAUUGAGGGGCCCGCACAAGCGGUGGAGCAUGUGGUUUAAUUCGAUGAUACGCGAGGAACCUUACCUGGGCUCAAAUGUAUGUUGACGUAUUUCUGAAAGGGAUACUUCUUCGGACAAUAUACAAGGUGCUGCAUGGUUGUCGUCAGCUCGUGCCGUGAGGUGUCGGGUUAAGUCCCAUAACGAGCGCAACCCCUACCUUUAGUUGCCAUCAGGUUAAGCUGGGGACUCUAAAGGAACUGCCUACGCAAGUAGUGAGGAAGGCGGGGAUGACGUCAAAUCAGCACGGCCCUUACGUCCAGGGCUACACACGUGCUACAAUGGCCGAUACAGAGGGCAGCUACCUGGUGACAGGAUGCAAAUCUCCAAAGUCGGUCUCAGUUCGGAUCGGAGUCUGCAACCCGACUCCGUGAAGUUGGAUUCGCUAGUAAUCGCGCAUCAGCCAUGGCGCGGUGAAUACGUUCCCGGGCCUU